CUGAUGAGAGGACUCAAGUCAGACCAACAGGGCGAACACUGGUGGAUUCCAAAGAGGGCAGCCUGUGGGAACUGAGAGGAUUGUCUGUUUUUUUCUCUUCCUACCAGAACAAUAAGGACCGUUGAGAAGGAAAUCCAAAUAAAUACGCAAAACGGUGAGGAGAGGAAAGCAAGCCUGAGACAAUUUGCCAGCUCCAGAGGGAGGGGUGUAAGUAACUGAAAGUCUUAUCCGGAAAGUGCCCCAGGUACUUUGGCCUUUGUGGACCACUUCCUCCA
rnacentral:lncRNA from 1 species